rnacentral:rRNA from 1 species
AACGAACGCUGGCGGCACGUUUUAAGCAUGCAAGUCGAAUGGCAGCAGGGGCAACUCUGUGAGAAUGGCGAACGGGUGAGUAACACGUAGGUGAUCUGCCUUGAGGAUGGGGAUAGCCUGUGGAAACACAGGGUAAUACCGAAUGAGCUGACGAGACUUUGGUUUUGUUAGUAAAGGUGCUACGGCACCGCCUUGAGAGGAGCCUGCGGCUGAUUAGCUAGUUGGUGGGGUAAGAGCUUACCAAGGCGACGAUCAGUAGCCGGCCUGAGAGGGUGUACGGCCACCCUGGAACUGGGGCACGGUCCAGACUGCGACGGGAGGCAGCAGCUAAGACUCUUCCGCAAUGGGCGAAAGCCUGACGGAGCGAUGCCGCGUGAUCGAUGAAGGUCGAGGGAUUGUAAAGAUCUUUUCUACAUGAGGAAGAAGUCUGGGAGGGAAUGCCCGGAUGAUGACGUUAGUGUAGGAAUAAGCCCCGGCUAAUUACGUGCCAGCCGCCGCCGUAA